AGCAGAUGGAUAUCUUUUCAUUUCUUCUUCUUCGUCUUUUUUUUUUUUCUCCCCACUUUCUUCUACUGCGGUUGCGCCUCCUCACCACCACCAUCAUUUCUCCGGCUGUUGAUUCUGCUGCUGCUGCUAAGUUUCCUUCAAAAGCUGAUGAAGAUGUUUCUGAAUACGAGAGAGAAGUGGGUGUUGUUGAUCGAAUUAAUUGAUGAGAAGAGAAGAUUUCUUUUGUUCUUUCUCGUAUGUUGCUGAAGAAGAGCUGCGAUUGAUUCAGUGAUUCAUAGGAUAUAGAUCUAGUGACCGUAAUCGAAGUUGAGAUGGGUUUAUUUGGUUCGACUUAGUGGUGGUGUUAUUCAAUUCUUGGUUAUAAUCAAAAGAAGAUGAAUUUGAGAUGGUAUGGAUCAAUGGGUUUGUUCGAAUUGAUACUCACCUGAAGCUGCUAAAUUUUGGUUUGCUAGGGUUUACUAAAAUCAUACGCUCUGUAUAUUGAUUUGGCAUGAUGUUUUGGUGUCUGGGUUUUGUUAAUAUGUGCUGAAAAUGAGAAUUCUUGAUUGAAAUUUUGAUUUUUGUUUUUUGUGAGAAUGAUUGAUGUGGGUUUGUUUUGAAUGUUUUUGAGAUUUUUGAUUACUACUUUUGCUUAAUUAAUUGUUUGGGAUUUUAAAUUUUGAAAUUCAUUUUUGUUUGUAUGAAUUUGUAAAAGAAUUAGAUCUAAGUAAAAUUGCUCUUGAUUUUUAUCAUAUUUGAAUUGUGUUGCAUCUAUUGAUCUGUUAUGGUGUUUGAAUUUGAAGAACUGAAAAGAGGAGAAUGUUGCGGAUGUGGUGUGAGUUGAUGUGAAGCUUGGGGUGCUACUAAUGGGUUGUGCAGGCAUGAGGUUUUGCAGGUUAUAGAAUUGAAGGUGUUGGUGUUGGUGAUUAUCAUGGGCGUGAGUAUGAGUUUGAGCAGAGAACACAACUGGAAAGAGUUCUUGCUGCGAUUGAAGUCGUGAAUCUCGUGAUGGAUUGAGAUGAAAAUGAAGAGACUAGAUGGAUGUUAGGUGUUACAGGCUUACAGCCUUACAGGGAAGGAGUUGAAAGGCCUGAAAAUGAUUUAAUGAAUUUUUGAUGGGUAUUGUAUUGAGGUCUAAUUUUUGUAAUUUGUGUUUGAUAAUUAUAAUUUGUCAUAAAUUAAGUUGAUUAAUUUUUUA